rnacentral:rRNA from 1 species
UACGGGGGGGCAAGCGUUGUUCGGAAUUACUGGGCGUAAAGGGUUCGUAGGUGGCUCGUUAAGUCAGACGUGAAAUCCCUCGGCUCAACCGAGGAACUGCGUCUGAGACUGAUGAGCUCGAGUGCAGGAGAGGAACGCGGAAUUCCAGGUGUAGCGGUGAAAUGCGUAGAUAUUGGGAAGAACACCUGAGGCGAAGGCGGGUUGCUGGGCCGACACUGACGCUGAGGCGCGAAAGCCAGGGGAGCGAACGGGG